AACAGUUGCUGACCUUAACAUUAUUCACCCCUGUGACCCAACCCAAAUUUCUGAAUGUAGGUGAAAAGGUUACAAAUUUGGUCAACCACUUGAAAAAAAACAUAGCAGGUAUCAAGGAUGAGACAAGGAGUAAUCACUACCUAAUUUUAGUUAGUUCUUUUCACAUUAAAAAUUCUUUCAUUGUGAAAAUAAGAUGAAAAUUUAAGUAUUCAAUACAGGAAGCUAUAAAUAAAAAAUAUAGGUGCAGAAUAUAGCAUAUGGCUUAAAGCAGUAAUGAUAAAUCACCACAAUAACUCAAGUUCACUAGACAGCUGAAACUGCCAGAGCAGAGUAACAGGUGACUGCUUCCUCAGUAUCAUUAAAGAUUUUAGUACAGUUAUUUCUUGCUGCAAAUAAAUGUAUGCAUAUCUGCAUUUGUAUGUAUGUAUAUGUAAGUGUAAAUGAGAGGAACUGCUACCAGAGAGCUAUAAAAAGAGAGUAUGUUUUCAAUUCUUUGGGAAAGCCCUGAAAGAAGAAAAAAAGUAUUUUCCUCUAAAUCUGCUUACUGGAAAUUACCACCAUCUCAGAGGACACCUACCUUUGGGCUUCAAUUUCUAGCACAAGACAUGGGGGAAGAUGGCUGGGUUGGCAGGCAUCAGAAGAUGUUAGAAUGCUCUCACAUAUUCUCUAGGAAUCAUCUCAUGGCAAAUCUACCCACCAUCUUUUGAAGGAAAAACAAGAUGAACCUUCCUAAAACUUGAAAGGAAAAAUAAUUCAAAUUAUUUUCCAGCAUAUAAAAACUUCCUAUUGAAGAAAAUUACUGUUGGCAAAACUAAAGAUAAAUGAACUCUAAAGGAAGAUUUAAGAAGAGAUGGAAGAAUGAGAUAUCCUGGAUCACAGCAGUGAAUAUACAGUUUCAGACCUGUCUCCAAAAUCUCAAAAUGUUUGGUUAAAGUGACAUUUCAGCCACUUUCCUUCAGCAAAAGUGACACUGAGCACAACAGCAGAGAAACUGAGAGAGGGCUGUAUGUCAACAGGUAAGAAAAUCAAACUCAAGAGUCAGCGCUGUGUGGAGCCACUUAAAGUCCAGACAUAUAUUUUAUUUCUCACUUUUCACGCAAAUACAUGUCUUUUGUAUCCACUCUUUAGUGUUACGUGGAAAAGCAAAACCUUGGAGACAGGAAGGAAAGAGACAACAGGUAAUUACAGACCUCACUGCUGUCCUGAGUGAUUCUUCUUUUUCUCCAUAUAGUGAAUUAGCUCUUUGUAGAAGAAUUGAGUUCAAGUCUUAAGACAUAGUGAAUUACUAGUCUAAUUUGCCAGUGUCAGCUCUGUUUCAAACCACUGUUAAUCAUUUAGUUUUGUGUGUUUUACAAAGUUGAGACAGAUUUUCUAAAUGUACUGUGGGGCACAUGGGGGUACAUCUUACAUACUUACACAUAUGUAUUUCAAUAUAUUCAUAGUUAUUAAAAUUAAUCAAUAAGAAACUGUGUUUGAGUUCCAAUCCAUCUUGUGGUCAACACGACCCAGUAAUUUUGUCCUUUUUCUUUUCUUUUUUUAUGCAGGUCAUCCAUUCAGUUAAAAUUCUGUCAAAACAGUGCAGUUGAUCUAAUUCCUCGUAAUCAAAGCAGUUACUUUGAGUUUUAGUUUGCUAUAAUUGUACUGCUACAGACUUUAAACACUAAAAUAUGGGGGACGGGGGUAUGGUGUUGCAGCCCCUGCAAGCAUCACCACAAGUUUCUGUGGCCUCUCCAUAGCUUCCCUGUGCCUGUCAUAUUAUCAUCUUUCCACUUGAUCUUAUAAAGAGUUUAUAUUUGCACCCUGCCAGUUUGAUACUAUUUUUCUUUUUCUGAACUUGAUGUUUGAUGCCUCAGCAUAACUGAAGGCAAAUCCGCCCACAGUAUCACGCAAAGCAGGAGUGCUCUUUCCCCCACCACUUGCACAGCUUCCCUAAGCCCUGGGUUUUCUCCUGAAGAUUUCACUCUUAGCAGUCUGUUUUCUGUUCCCUCCAGGAGGGACUGUGCUGUGCAUUUUCCACUACUGGAUAUCCUAAUCUGCCCUUAAAAUAUGCACAUUUCUAUCAGCUUGUUUUCCUUUAAGAGCUAAAAGCAUAGGGUCGUCUUCCCCUGGCUCUCUCUUGCUGGCUGCCCAACAAGGAAGGAGUGGGCUCAGAAGGAUUGUCACAGGAAAUAAACCUGAAAAUGGACAGGGCAGAGAUGAAAACAAUUCAAUGUGCAAGUGCAUAAGGUGGACCUGAGUGAUGCUGUUGGUAGGAUACCUUUGGAAGUGUGGGUUUGUACUUCAGUGAACUUCAGAAAGGCUUUCUGGCCUGAUCUGUCAUUCCCAACAUGAGGAAUAACACCUGUAGCUGAAACAACUUGCAGAGAACUCUAUUCA